GCAUAUUGUUAUAUAUUGCAAUGCUCUGCUACGCGAAACCUGAAACAUGAUGCAGAUAAAAGGCAACAAUCCAUCAAAAUGAACGUGACCUGUUGUCGAUAGGGGCGCAACUUUAGCAAACGCUCCUAUGGGUCGUAUUUCAUGAAUUAAAAUGAAAGUGUCCUGUUGUCGAUAGGGGCGCAACUUUAGUAAACGCUCCUACGGGUCGUAUUUCCCAAGGACAACAGCGCCAGACCAAAAGCCUGUGGCCGGAAGUGGGCGAAGUAACAGUCUCACGCCGUAUGUGGGCGGGGUUAGCGACAAAAACAAUGGCGGAAGACGAGAAUACGGUAAAAAGUUUCUUUCUGUUAUGUUUUAAUCGAUCACGUUUAUUUAUUGGUUACAUUUUCUAAUACUCACCAAUGUUUAUGUGGAUUUUUAGAGGCAUAUUAGGAUUCGGAGAGGAUUCAUUUGCAGCGAUGCAAAUCCCAGUGUUUACUGACGGCACAGGUUGAAUGCACACCUUCAAAUUCACUUCAAAAAGGCUGUUGUCCAUGGAGUGCAGUAAAUUGACAAGCAGAAUCACCCCAGAACAAUGGAAGCUGGUCAAAAACAAGAAGGUUCCACAACAGUUGGCCGGCUCUAUUGACUGUGGGAUCUUCAUGUUAAUGGAGCCACUGAUCACAGAAGACCUCUGCGCUGCACUUAAACAGCUGCACAACAACCAAAAGUCUUCAAAGGUUUAGUGGAAGAGCUGUGCUUUCUGAUAUUGAAAGAGGAGGACCAGGAAAAAGCCCCUCUUCAACUUUCACAGGCUGAAACGGAUGAUGACAGACAACUGGCCAAAGAGCCUUUAGUGUUUUGCUUCCAAAUUAAGGAUGAUAUGGACAUUUUUCUUAAUGAGUGUCUGGACAAAAAUGUUUAUGGAGAAUUUUUUUUUUUUUUUUUUUUUUUAAAUAUAUUUAAUUUGUCAUCAUGUACCUGCUGUGCAAUAAUUUGUUCAAUUUACUCUCUUUUUUUUAUUUUAUACUUUUUGUUUUAGAGCAAAGCACAGCUAGUAUAUGAUGCAUUUGAUACUUAGGGGGAAAAGUAAAUUUUAUUAAUUAAAUAACUUUUGUGUUUUGGUUUUGAUAGAUCUGAAUUUGCUUAAUUCAUGUAAUCUAGUGUACAACUGUGUAAUGUGUAUUAUGUACUAUAAAAAAUGGUUCAUUCAUCAUGAAAUGCUUGAGUAAAAUAUACAUUUUACGUCAAAUAAAUAAAUGUUUGUCAUUUUUAGUGUUUAAGCUUUGUGUUCAAUUUAUAUUCAGUUAAUCAUUUGUGAAAUAAAUUGCUGAACUUUAACUUUAAAAAAUAUUUAAAAGGUUACAAGGGGGUUUAAUACAACAUGU